rnacentral:lncRNA from 1 species
AAUUGAGACCUAGACAACCAGGUGAGGGGAGUUCCUUACUGAGACCUAGACAACCAGGUGAGGGGAGUUCCUUACUGAGACCUGGACAACCAGGUGAGGGGAGUUCCUUACUGAGACCUAGACAACCAGGUGAGGGGAGUUCCUUACUGAGACCUGGACAACCAGGUGAGGGGAGUUCCUUACUGAGACCUGGACAACCAGGUGAGGAGAGUUCCUUACUGAGACCUAGACAACCAGGUGAGGAGAGUUCCUUACUGAGACCUAGACAACCAGGUGAGGAGAGUUCCUUACUGAGACCUAGACAACCAGGUGAGGGUAGUUCCUUACUAAUUAGUGACCUUAAUUAAUCAAUCAAGUACAAGGUAGAAGCGAAAACCCACAGACACUCUGCCCUCAGUGGAAUGAGUUUGACACGUGGCCUAUGGAUAUGGAUACAUUGAAAUGUUUCUUAAAGAAGAAAUAUGAAAUGCAUAACC